rnacentral:misc_RNA from 1 species
UCGGAUCGUUUUAGAAACAUCAGUGGCCAACAGAUCGCCAGAUCGUUGAGCUGCAUUGGCGGGAUUUCGCCGUCUUCGUUUCUCUUUCUUCGCGGACGAACACGCGCUGGGCCUGCAACGGCAGGAUCCAGGGUCCUUAACGGGAUGUGCGUUAGGGGCUUGUAGCUCAGUUGGUUAGAGCGCGCGCUUGAUAAGCGUGAGGUCGGAAGUUCAAGUCUUCCCAGGCCCACCACUUUCAUCGAGUGAGCAUUCGUCUUCUGGUUACGGGGCCAUAGCUCAGCUGGGAGAGCGCGUGCUUUGCAAGCAUGAGGUCGUCGGUUCGAUCCCGUCUGGCUCCACCAGAUGGUUUGAUCACCGAGAUCUUGACCGUCGUCCGCGAAACAUCACUUCGCAUCCUGCUAGUCUGGAUAGACAGCAGUUUGCGUGUUUUCUGACAUCGUAAAGAGGAGAUCGAUCCGAGUUGGGUCGUGCAGCAUAUCGUUGCGCGAGCCUUCAUUAUCUCCGGAUCAUUUCGGCGCUCGCUUCCAGCCGUGAGGUUGGAUGCGGGUUGUAAAUGAUCCUUUUAGCGAAGCUUGACCGCCUCGCUAUCGGAACGAUCUUACGAAGCAAGCUGGUCUUUCUAGUCAAUGUCCGGCUGCAGAUAGCGUUCAUCGAGGGCGCGUGCCGCAAGGCAAUUCUGCAGACAACAUUCUGCCGAGUGUGUGGACAUUGAUAAUGAGAGCAAUCAAGUGCCUUAAGGGUGUUCGGUGGAUGCCUUGGCGCUGAGAGGCGAUGAAGGACGUGCUACGCUGCGAUAAGCCGUGGGGAGCUGCGAAGAAGCUUUGAUCCGCGGAUUUCCGAAGGGGGAAACC